GAAGUAAGGUGGAUUGCAGCCUCACCUCCUAAUUAGCUUUAAAUAAUAAAAAAAAAAAAUCAAAAGCCCUGUUCUGUAGAUUGUGUGCAUUUGAAAUCCACAUUUCCAUGGGGCUUAUACCCCUUUUUCUUGGAGUGUCUACAGAAAUACCAAAUUCAACUACCAGAAAGCAAUUCAUCCUUUCAGUUUACCUACAGUGAAAUAAGCAUCUAGGGUAGUUUUUAAAACACACUGGCUAAAUGUGGAUUCAGUUGUUUGUUUCAACAUUAGAAAAGCAUUAAUCAGUGAUAUUGCAUUGACUUCCAAAGGUGUGUAUGCUUUGUGUGCUUGCUUAAAUGACUAACUCUCGUUAGUGAUCCCUAUAAAAGAGCAAAGAAGUUGUUUUAGCAACAUGAAGAAGUAAAUAGUUGAGGUUCUAGAAUUUUUAGUGACGAAACAUUAUGAUAACAUCUAAUUGUUCUUUACAGUUGUCCUCCAUGAAAGGCAAGAAUGGAAAUCUUGCAAGAAUAAUACAGAAGACUAAAGUAAUUUUUAUGUUUGAUAUGUUGAAGAACACAAAGGAAGAAGAAAAGACUGGGAAGAAAUUCAAAGAACAAUUCCCUGUGCAAGUAGAAGCACAUGAAAGCUAUUGAACAGCCUGAGAUGAUAAAUAAAUGAAACAGUGAGAAAGUUCAGCUCACUCAGUCUGGCAAGGAAGAAGCUCAGGAGAGAGCUAGGAGCAGCCUGCAGCUGUUGGAAGGAGCCUCCUCUCAGCUGCUGCACUGCCUUGCUUCAGGAAGUCAUAGGACACAUGCACAUAACUUAACAGGUAUUGGUCUUGUAAGAAGGCCAGGAAAUGCAGGGUGGUCCCAGAGGAACUGAUACAGACAACUUAAACUGUGUUUUUUUUUUCAAAUGUGUCACCCAACUCUGUGGAAAUAGAUUGUUAAUUUAAGUGCUUACCUCCAGGGUCAAAUGUGAUUUUCCAGCACAAUGCCAUAAGUCUGAUGCCUGUAUGGCUAUAGCAAUAGUCUCGUCAGAUCGAAUUCUGACACAGAAGAUGGAAUAGAGGAGCUUUUUAAAUACCUCAUCCUAGGUAGAUUUAAGUUAAUCAUCUGUGCAGUUCUGUACUGUCAAGUGGUGAUCUGGGCUAGAGUUCACUAGUUCUAACAUUACAGGCUGCUACUGCUCAACUCAGAGGAAGGAUGAAGAUGACACCUAACUGGAACCAAACUUCUACUGAAGAGAAGAGUUGGCACCACAGGGCAAUUACGAAUGGACACUUUCAUUUGUCACUAUAGACUGGCCAUAUAUAACUCUUCUGAAAUUUUUUUCAAAACUUAACGGUGGUUUUAGGUCAAUGAGUUUUUUGUUUUAAUGGCUAAGUUCUUUUAGGUUUGUUAUUUACUUAUACCUUUUUCGUAUUUAUAAUACUUUCCCAUUUCAAGUCAUGUAAUCUUCCUCCUUUGGUAAUUCAUCUUUGUCUCUGCUGAAUCUUCAUUCUUGUUCUGGCAGUGCAUCUUUUUCUCUGGUAGAGAAUCUUCCUUUUAGUUCUAAAUAGCUCAAAAAAAAAAAAAAAGACUUCAGAGGCAGUUAAAGUGAAAGGUAGUGCUACGAUAAGACUGUACGAGAUACCCUUCUUUAAUUCCUUCUAUUUAAUGCGUUCUGCUAUGUUUCUAAAUUUGGACUCCGUAGUUAUUCCACUUACGCUCCUGUACUGCCACCAGUGCAAUCUAAGCUUCCUUUAUGGCCUAGUAAAUGAUUCAAACCUGCUAUUUAAUGUAUUAAACCAAUCUUUUAAAAGAUCUAAAACAGCUUUAAAACAUAGCUGAUUGUAGCUACUUGAUACUAUCCCUAUAUAAACCAGCAUCAUAUAUAUAUAUGUGUUCAAAAUCUGGAAACUACGCAUCCAGCAACUGGAACAGGGGCAUGGCAGACAAGUGGAAUUUGGACUGUCUUUGGCAAAGCUUAGUAUUAUAUUACUACUGUAGGGCAAUUACUAUUGUUUCAAUUACAACCCAUCAAUUCAUAUACAUUCAAUUGUAUAGUAGUUACAAAUUACACAGCAAGACUUAAAACUUUCUUUCUUUCUUCUUCAG
ensembl:lncRNA